rnacentral:misc_RNA from 1 species
UUGAAAUAAACCUGAUGGGUUGCUGCUGGUUUCUCAAGGAACAUGUGCACACUUGUCAUCUUUAUAUUUCCACCUGUGCACUUUUUGUAGACCUGGAUAGUUUUUUCUGAAUGCUAGCAUUCAGGUUUUGAGGAUUGACCUCUCGGUUCUCUCCUUAUAUUUUCAGGUCUAUGUUUCUUCAUAUACCCUAAUGUAUGUUACAGAAUGAUGUAAAAAUGGGCCUUUAUGCCUUUAAACAUAUA